AUGAACGCUGGCGGCGUGCCUAAUACAUGCAAGUCGAGCGAACAGAUGAGGAGCUUGCUCCUCUGACGUUAGCGGCGGACGGGUGAGUAACACGUGGAUAACCUACCUAUAAGACUGGGAUAACUUCGGGAAACCGGAGCUAAUACCGGAUAAUAUAUUGAACCGCAUGGUUCAAUAGUGAAAGACGGUUUUGCUGUCACUUAUAGAUGGAUCCGCGCCGCAUUAGCUAGUUGGUAAGGUAACGGCUUACCAAGGCAACGAUGCGUAGCCGACCUGAGAGGGUGAUCGGCCACACUGGAACUGAGACACGGUCCAGACUCCUACGGGAGGCAGCAGUAGGGAAUCUUCCGCAAUGGGCGAAAGCCUGACGGAGCAACGCCGCGUGAGUGAUGAAGGUCUUCGGAUCGUAAAACUCUGUUAUUAGGGAAGAACAAAUGUGUAAGUAACUAUGCACGUCUUGACGGUACCUAAUCAGAAAGCCUCGGCUAACUACGU
rnacentral:rRNA from 1 species